rnacentral:rRNA from 1 species
UGGGUAUGUUAAUAGCAUACUCAUUUGACGUUUAGCUGCAGAAGAAGCACCGGCUAACUCCGUGCCAGCAGCGCGGUAAUACGGAGGGUGCGAGCGUUAAUCGGAAUUACUGGGCGUAAAGCGCAUGCAGGUGGUUUGUUAAGUCAGAUGUGAAAGCCCGGGGCUCAACCUCGGAAAUUUGCAUUUGAAACUGGCAAACUAGAGUACUGUAGAGGGGGUAGAAUUUCAGGUGUAGCGGUGAAAUGCGUAGAGAUCUGAAGGAAUACCGGUGGCGAAGGCGGCCCCCUGGACAGAUACUGACACUCAGAUGCGAAAGCGUGGGGAGCAAACAGGAUUAGAUACCCUGGUAG